UCCCUGAUAGCUCAGUUGGUAAAGAAUCUGCCUGCAGUGCAGAAGACCUGGGUUCGAUCCCCAGGUUGGGAA